GACGUAGGGCGCGAGCGUUGUCCGGAUUUAUUGGGCGUAAAGGGCUCGUAGGCGGCCAACUAAGUCAGACGUGAAAUCCCUCGGCUUAACCGGGGAACUGCGUCUGAUACUGGAUGGCUUGAGAUUGGGAGAGGGAUGCGGAAUUCCAGGUGUAGCGGUGAAAUGCGUAGAUAUCUGGAGGAACACCGGUGGCGAAGGCGGCAUCCUGGACCAAUAUUGACGCUGAGGAGCGAAAGCCAGGGGAGCAAACGGG
rnacentral:rRNA from 1 species